UCUAGUGUCUCGUUCGUUUCUCGGACUCACCGAUGGUAUGUAUGGCUGUACACACGAGCGCGUAUUCUACAAAUUGUUCGGCCAAGAACGCCGUGGCGAUCGUACAGCGUGAAAUUAUUUAACGAUAGGAUACGGGGGAACAGUUGGCGCAAUGGGGAGAUACCGGGGCUGAAGAGUGCAAUUGUCGCGUAACAAACAAUUAGUUCGUAGCCAUCGCUACCUGGAUGCAAGGGGGAAAGGGCAGAUACCUGGCGAAGAACCUGGUAUAGAAAAUGGUAGAGUGGAACGGGGGCCAAUACACGAUGGACGGAGCUCGAGGACCAGGUACUCUCUCGGGAGACGAGAAACUUUACAAUCGACUAUCUAAAAAUACACUCUUUCAUCGGGAGAUGAUAAAAAUUAACGGACAGAGUUUUCAUUCCUUCAAACUCUUCGUACAAGUUUUAUAACGCUUCUUUCGCGUUUAAAGGAUUGUUGAACACGAAUUACCAGCUGCGCCGUUUAAACCUGCGACGCUCUGUCUUCUUGCCUCGUAUAUUUCUUUUCCCCCAACCUAACGUUCACCCAUUUACCUUUACACCAGAAUGCGCCUCAUAUAUGCCCUUCGCUGCACCACGAUGACCGUCGACCCGGAAACUCGACAACUCUCGUCCUCCCUGCGACGCGAGAUGCAUGCCAAUUUUCUGUACAUACGUGUUUCUAUACACGCAGGGAAAUCCGGCGAGAUGCGCUUUUUAAUCGCGAGAUAUCGCCCGUUGUUUCGUCACGUCGAGUUCGUCGGUGAACAGGGUGUGCACAAUGCUUUUGGUCUUUCGCAGAGAAUUGUUUAGACAUUGAUGGUUGAAAAAUUUCACUCAGCGUAUAUUAAUAUCUCUUCGCGUGUCCUGUUUGUGUAUAUUUAUAUAGAAGAAAUUGAAGUUGUAAGCGAUGGAAAAAAAUUUUAAUCGAUCUUCGAGCAAAGUAAUUGGAUGACCUCGAUCGAUCGAAUAUUGAAAUUGAUAAUUUUUUGUGUUAAAUCGUUGGAAAGUGUUGAAAGUUGAAAGUUAAUAUGUAAGAAUGAUAGUGUGGAUGAUUUGUAUCAUUGAAGAAAUAUGUGUGAAAGAAGAGAAGACACGAAUGGAAGGAACGAAUAAAUCGUUACGGGAAUGAAUAACAUAUAUUGUUAAUAUUAAUAGCGGUAUGUUUUAAGCAACAUCGAUAAAAGAAUUGGUAAAUAUUUGAGGGAAUACUACACCAUUGUUCCAACUUGCAAUUUAUUGAUUUAUACAUUUUAAUUCUUUUCUUCUUUUUUGCAUACUUUUGUAUCGUUUGCGAUAUCGUUUCUAGAUUUAUUUCCUUAUCUCUUCUUAUCGACAAUCGUAACGUAUCAUAAUGAUCUCGAAGGAAAGGGAAAAUUUAAUCGAUGAUCGGUUGUUCUCGUUAUAUGAAACUGUGUAUAUUACAGAAAUGAAAUCUGUGUUAUAUAAUAUUCUAUUUUAUUUUAUCUUUUUUUUUAUCGAUAUUCAAUUUUCACUUUGAUCAUAAUUUCACUUACGCUCAUAUAGUU